rnacentral:tRNA from 1 species
GGGUCGAUACCGAAGUGGUCAACCGGGACAGACUGUAAAUCUGUUGGCUUUCGCCUUCGGAGGUUCGAAUCCUCCUCGGCCCA